ACGCUCGACACCUACGGGAGCAGCAGUGGGGAAUAUUGCACAAUGGGGGAAACCCUGAUGCAGCGACGCCGCGUGAGCGAAGAAGUAUUUCGGUAUGUAAAGCUCUAUCAGCAGGGAAGAAAAAUGACGGUACCUGACUAAGAAGCACCGGCUAAAUACGUGCCAGCAGCCGCGGUAAUCUGAGCGGGCGUGGCAAGGC
rnacentral:rRNA from 1 species